CUCUGCCAACAAAUGCCUCUUGGAUUGUUAGGAAGAUUUUGGAUUGCAGGGAUGCCAUUAUGGAGAAUCAACAGUUGUAAGGCAAUCUCUUUAGCAGACUGAAAUCAUUGUGCAAACUGGACAAGUUUCAAAUCCAAGAGUUAUACCUGACUAUGCUGCCUAAGUACAGUAAGGUUGAUUGGAGGAAUGUGAUGCUGACUG
rnacentral:lncRNA from 1 species